ensembl:processed_transcript Six3os1 SIX homeobox 3, opposite strand 1
AAAAGGAUCACAGAUGCUGCUCGGGGCCAGCCCUAUACUCCCUCCAGUGCCUGGACUCCCGUGGACCCGCGGGGCUCUGCAGUUCUCAGACGGCCGCGCCUUGUGAGCGCUAAGCCGGGAGGAGGGCGCAGGCAGGGCGCACAGCUCUGAGCGCGCCCCUACCCGGCUCGGGCCCGCAGCAGCCCCGACUGUCCGAGAGCCUCUCCGCAAGCAAGGCUCUGCGCCGCCCUCUGAGCCCACCUCCUGGCCACAACGCCGCCUGCGCUUCUCCAGCCCAGGCCGGAAGCCCUACGCUGCCUCCUGAAGCCGACUCAAGGACUGGGGACUUGGUGGAUCUAUGGCAUUAGUACCCACAGAGGUCACCUGCACAGACAAAUCUGUCGCCACCCUUCAACCCUGGCCUACCGGAUCUGCGGGGAGAAAUGCAGCAUUUGAAUUGGGGAGUGUUCAAUCCUGCUCUGCGGGAUUUACAAAUAUCAGCUACAACCCAGCCAUGAGAAGGUCUCAUACAGUCAGAGGACUUUGCGGGAAGCACACUCCCUCCUUGUUUUGGGUUACAAGGAAAGCCCAGGAAAGCUAGUCCCAGAAGGCCUGGGUCAGCUACACCCAGUUCACCCAUGCUCAACCCGGAACAGCCGACCCAAACGGUCAGGAAGGUUUGUCCUGGGGGCAACGCCUCUUCCGGGCUCUAGGACGUUGGAAGACAGAGAGAUUGCUGGGUAGCGGGUGGUCUGGGCCUCCCCGCAAGCUGCAAACGAAGGAGCUUGGUGCAGACCGCCAGGGAGGGCGCAGGGGAGCGCAGUACUCAGGCGGGGAGGCCUCGAAGCCCUUCAAGGACCCCGAUUACUUUCCUUUGAACAACAACAACAACAACAACAAAAACAACAACAACUGCUCCCUCCUCCUUAUAUCCCCUCCCUCUUUUAGCCUCCAGGCACCAGGGCUUCGAGUAAUUGUCCUUCAGGACAGUAAACACAGCUCAGUUGCCUCAACUUUCCUGGUGCAUAAAAGUUCCCGGCGCGAGGGGAAAUUUGAAUAUUUGAUCAGCCCCUUUGAGUGACCCUCAUUAGCCUGGCGCCCUGCUAAGGCCCCACCAUUGCAAAAAAGCUGCUGGGCCCGGCAUUUGUACGCCUUGUUAGCGCUGCUUAAUGAAGCCGCCCCGACGGCUCAAAGGCGGCCUCUGGGGCCGGCAGCGCGCACCUCUCGGCACCCCGCUCUGCCUAAUGAGCCCCGCCGCCCGCUAAAGGCCCUUCCACCCCCCACAUCCUCAAACAAGAGGGGUUUGGCUCCGUCUAGGACCUGAACACCUCCCACCACCGGGCCCAGGAGGGUGGGCACAAACCCAGUCUAGCUGGCUACACGGUGAUCUAGCCCCUGGAGAAAGAAGCCAGCUACUUGGAGUAAGCAAGCUAAACAUGGUUGUGUGAGUGGGAAAGUAGGGAAGUGGAUUUUACAGCCACUAGGUCUAGCUCACCCGUGGGUGCCACGAACCUUCCCUCACAGGGCCAGCUAUAAAUCAAUUAGCCAGCCCAGCUCCUUAAAGGUGCAUCUGGACUAGUGUUAGAGCGUCAGAAGGGUUGGUACACAGGGGAGGGUCAGCUUUCCACUCCCCCCUCAAAUUCCUUUGCUCCGGUCUCCCCAGGAGGCCUGGCACUUCUCCCCAGGUGGCCUCACACUUUCUGGAAGGUCAACUUUCCAGACAACUAGAACUCUAGGCCUGUAUUUGAGAAAGGGUGGGCAGAUUCAGCUCCCCCAGGCCGCUGCUGCUCACACCCCUCGGAGAAUGACUUCCAGUUUCACACAAUCCCUCCCCUGGUCUCUCUUCCAUCGCGUUUAUAGCCAUGGAGAGGUCUGAAGAACUUAGCCCAGGAAAGACCACGCUCCUUAGGCAAGACUGGAACCUCAAACAAACCUGGACGAGAGAAGGGAAAUCCUAGGAAAAGGGAGUGGAGACAGCCACCCACUAGGACAAGCAUCUACUCCUUCUCUCCUCUUCUUGGGCCAAGGAACACGGCUAACUAGUUAAUAUAAGAAACCAUUAGAAACUGCACUUCACUCCUCAGAAAGAGUUGACAUCUCUCACUGCCCUCUCGCCUCCAUUGUCCUUUCUCCUGGACAGUUGGAACUCAAGGUCCCCUUUCACUCCCUUCUUGAAUACCCCUAGCACUUGCUGGGUUGGAGGAGCAGGGAACUCUCGGUUCUCCACUCAGGACUUUCUGGAAGCCCAUCUCCGUAUGCUCACCAGCCCACCCUCCUACGCUGGUCAGAGUGAGAUUGCUAACCUCAAGACCCCAUUCAAUGCCAGCUUUCAACUGCUGCUGAAGACCAAUGUAGGUCCUGGAUUAGAAGAACCGCAGAGUGGGGCUGCGUAGAGGAUUCGGCAGUUUCUCGGCCACAAGGACAGAGUUUCCUAAGAAGGGAAAGAAGAGUGCGGGCAGAGAGGAGAGGUCCGAGGAGGAAAAGAGAGGCCUGAGGACGCUCUGGCGGCUCCAGUACCAAGCCUUGGUAUCUUUGGAAUUCUGGGGAGAGUGGAAGGGCUUACAAACUACACAUAAGUCGGUGAACUUGAACCACCGUGUAUCCCGAUUUUGCAUUGAGCCGGGCCCUGCGCACCCGGAAUGCUGAAGCGGCCAAGGGCAGAGAAGGGGUGUAUUUGCAACUCGUGGUUUCUUCGGUUAAACAAACCCAUAGCCUCAGCAACAACAACAAAAACUGCAAGUGCAGGAAGCAAAAUUAAACAUAAUUCCUUUUAUUUAUCUGUUUCAUUUAUAUCAUUAAAAUAUUUUUGGUUAUGUUGUAUAGAAUAGCAUCCACUCUGAUUAUUACCUGCCAUAUCGGCUGUAUUCAGCACAGCAAAAUUAACAAUUAAGAAAAAAAAGGUACAUCUUAUAUAU